rnacentral:rRNA from 1 species
AGAUUGAACGCUGGCGGCGUGCUUAACACAUGCAAGUCGAGCGGUAACGCGGGAGCAAUCCUGGCGACGAGCGGCGAACGGGUGAGUAAUGCUUGGGAAUCUGCCCAUUAGUGGGGAACAACCAGCCGAAAGGUUGGCUAAUACCGCAUACGCCCUACGGGGGAAAGCGGGGGCUCGUAAGACCUCGCGCUAAUGGAUGAGCCCAAGUCGGAUUAGCUUGUUGGUAGGGUAACGGCCUACCAAGGCGACAAUCCGUAGCUGGUCUGAGAGGACGACCAGCCACACUGGGACUGAGACACGGCCCAGACUCCUACGGGAGGCAGCAGUGGGGGAAUAUUGGACAAUGGGCGCAAGCCUGAUCCAGCCAUGCCGCGUGAGUGAUGAAGGCCCUAGGGUUGUAAAGCUCUUUUGUGCGGGAAGAUAAUGACGGUACCGCAAGAAUAAGCCCGGCUAACUUCGUGCCAGCAGCCGC